rnacentral:rRNA from 1 species
AUUGAACGCUAGCGGCAUGCCUUACACAUGCAAGUCGAACGGUAACAGGUUAAGCUGACGAGUGGCGAACGGGUGAGUAAUGUAUCGGAACGUGCCCAGUCGUGGGGGAUAACUGCUCGAAAGAGCAGCUAAUACCGCAUGCGACCUGAGGGUGAAAGCGGGGGAUCGCAAGACCUCGCGCGAUUGGAGCGGCCGAUAUCAGAUUAGGUAGUUGGUGAGGUAAAGGCUCACCAAGCCGACGAUCUGUAGCUGGUCUGAGAGGACGACCAGCCACACUGGGACUGAGGAACGGCCCAGGCUCCUACGGGAGGAAGCAGUGGGGAAUUUUGGACAAUGGGCGCAAGCCUGAUCCAGCCAUGCCGCGUGCGGGAAGAAGGCCUUCGGGUUGUAAACCGCUUUUGUCAGGGAAGAAAAGGUUCUGGCUAAUACCUGGGACUCAUGACGGUACCUGAAGAAUAAGCACCGGCUAACUACGUGCCAGCAGCCGCCGUAAGAC